CUGGCUUUUAUUUUAUUGGCACAGCCAGUAUUUGAGGCUGCCUGGCUGGUGCCAAUAUUGCAGUGAUAUUGGCAAUACAAAUGCUGGUAUUUUUUCUCAGUAUAAACAAUAGAUUACUAUGCAAUACCAGCACUGGCCAGUAGGGGUCGCUGUGUGUGGAGACAGGCAGGGAUAGGAAGUUCCUGCAUAUCCCUCCCUGCCUAUCUAUACUCACUGAUCUGCAGGGGUGCAGCUACAGAGAGUCCAGACAGCAACUCCCACCCUGCAGAGACAGCCUACAGCUCAGGGAAGUAAGGGAUGGGGGGAAAGGCUUCAGGGAGACAUACACUGAGACACUAAGGGACACUGGGAGACAUUAUGGCAGACACAGUGUCCCCAUGUCUCCCAGUGUCCCCAUGUCUCCCAACCAGUGUCCCUGGUGUCUCAGUGCCCCCUAGUCUCCCAGUGACCCCUAGUCUCCCAGUGUCUCACUGUCCCCAUGUCUCCUAGUGCCUCCAUGUCUCCCAGUGCCUCAAGUGUCUCAAUGUCCCCUUGUCUCCAAGCUAGUGUCCCUAGUGUCUGUGGCCGUGGUGUCUGUGUCCCCAUGUCUCCCAGUGCCCCCAUGUCUCAAUCCCCAUGUCCCCCAGCCAGUGUCUCUAGUGUCUGUGUCCCCAUGUCUUCAAGUGUCCCCUAUUUUCCCAGUGUCCCAGCCAAUGUCCCCUAGUUUCCC